rnacentral:rRNA from 1 species
CCUACGGGAGGCAGCAGUGAGGAAUAUUGGUCAAUGGACGAGAGUCUGAACCAGCCAAGUAGCGUGAAGGAUGACUGCCCUAUGGGUUGUAAACUUCUUUUAUAUGGGAAUAAAAUAGGGUAUGCAUACCCUCUUGUAUGUACCAUAUGAAUAAGGAUCGGCUAACUCCGUGCCAGCAGCCGUGGUAAUACGGAGGAUCCGAGCGUUAUGCGGAUUUAUGGGGGUUAAGGGGCGCGUAGGUGGAUUGUAAAGUCAGUUGUGAAAGUUUGCGGCUCAAACGGAAAAUUGCAUAUGAAACUGGCAGUCUUGAGUACAGUAGAGGUAGGCGGAAUUCGUGGUGUAGCAGUGAAAUGCUUAGAUAUCGCGAAGAACUCCGGUUGCGAAGGCAGGUCACUGGACUGCAACUGACACUGAGGCUCGAAGGUGUGGGUAUCAAACGGGAUUAGAUACCCGAGUAGUC